AGAGUUUGAUCAUGGCUCAGGAUGAACGCUAGCGGGAGGCUUAACACAUGCAAGUCGAGGGGCAUCAUGAUGUAGCAAUACGUUGAUGGCGACCGGCGCACGGGUGAGUAACGCGUAUGUAACCUACCCUGUACAGGGGGAUAGCCCGGAGAAAUUCGGAUUAAUACCCCAUAAAGAUAUCGAGAGGCAUCUUUUGAUAUUUAAAGUUACGACGGUACGGGAUGGGCAUGCGUAACAUUAGCUAGUUGGUAAGGUAACGGCUUACCAAGGCAACGAUGUUUAGGGGUCCUGAGAGGGUGAUCCCCCACACUGGUACUGAGACACGGACCAGACUCCUACGGGAGGCAGCAGUGAGGAAUAUUGGUCAAUGGGCGCAAGCCUGAACCAGCCAUCCCGCGUGCAGGAAGACGGCGCUAUGCGUUGUAAACUGCUUUUCCAGAGAAAGAAAAUUCCGCACGUGUGCGGAACUGCCGGUACUUUGGGAAUAAGCAUCGGCUAACUCCGUGCCAGCAGCCGCGGUAAUACGGAGGAUGCGAGCGUUAUCCGGAUUUAUUGGGUUUAAAGGGUGCGUAGGCGGAUUGAUAAGUCAGUGGUGAAAACCUUCAGCUUAACUGGAGACUUGCCAUUGAUACUGUUAUUCUUGAGGGUGGUCAAGGUAGGCGGAAUGUGUAAUGUAGCGGUGAAAUGCUUAGAUAUUACACAGAACACCGAUUGCGAAGGCAGCUUACUGGGCCAUUACUGACGCUGAGGCACGAAAGCGUGGGGAGCGAACAGGAUUAGAUACCCUAGUAGUCC
rnacentral:rRNA from 1 species